rnacentral:rRNA from 1 species
UAAUGCUUGGGAAUCUGGCUUAUGGAGGGGGAUAACUACGGGAAACUGUAGCUAAUACCGCGUAGUGUCGAGAGACGAAAGUGCGGGACCGCAAGGCCGCAUGCCAUGAGAUGAGCCCAAGUGGGAUUAGGUAGUUGGUGAGGUAAAGGCCUACCAAGCCUGCGAUCUCUAGCUGGUCUGAGAGGAUGGCCAGCCACACUGGAACUGAGACACGGUCCAG